AACUUUUAACAAUGGAUCUCUUGGUUCUCGCAUCGAUGAAGAACGUAGCAAAGUGCGAUAACUAGUGUGAAUUGCAUAUUCGUGAAUCAUCGAGUCUUUGAACGCAGCUUGCACUCUAUGGAUCUUCUAUAGAGUACGCUUGCUUCAGUAUCAUA
rnacentral:rRNA from 1 species